rnacentral:rRNA from 1 species
UACGUAGGGUGCGAGCGUUAAUCGGAAUUACUGGGCGUAAAGCGUGCGCAGGCGGUUUUGUAAGCCAGAUGUGAAAUCCCCGGGCUUAACCUGGGAAUGGCAUUUGGGACUGCAAGGCUCGAGUGCGGCAGAGGAGACUGGAAUUCCUGGUGUAGCAGUGAAAUGCGUAGAUAUCGUAAGGAAGACCAGUGGCGAAGGCGGGUCUCUGGACAGUUCCUGACGCUGAGGCACGAAGGUCAGGGGAGCAAACGGG